CGCACAGCUCCCCGGCCUCCUUCUUCCUCGAGCAGAGCUCGAACGAGCUCGAGCAGCUCGCUCCCGCCGGCCAAAAUCCCCGGCCUCCGCCCCACCAUCUUCAAAUCGCCGCCAACUGAAGCUCCCUCGCCUCCCUAGCUCCCUCCUCAGCCCCUCCGACACGAGCCCCGACCGCCGCACAGCCGGGAAACGAGGAUUCUCCGGCCGCCGGCCAUUCAUGGCCAUCGAGCUCCACCUCGACGUCGAACUCUUAGCUCCGGCCACCAUUUUCUUCGUCCAGCGGCUCAAAUCGAAGCUAGGUACGCUAGAUGUACAUGCGUGGGCGUGAGGCACGCGGUGUUGGAGCCGAACUACAAGACGGAGUUCGGUGGACAUCUCAAGAAGAUGGAAGGACUCACUAAGGCGACCGAAGACCCGGCCCAAGGUCGAAAGGGCCCAAGACCUUAGUAGCAUUAACACUGACUUAGUGUUACCCCCAGGCAAGCCUCGGUGCAUGUCCUACGAUUUUAAAUUAUGAUUCACUAUAUAUAUAUUUAUUUAUUACUUGUGCAUUAA